GACGAACGCUGGCGGCGUGCUUAACACAUGCAAGUCGAACGGAAAGGCCCUGCUUUUGUGGGGUGCUCGAGUGGCGAACGGGUGAGUAACACGUGAGUAACCUGCCCUUGACUUUGGGAUAACUUCAGGAAACUGGGGCUAAUACCGGAUAGGAGCUCCUGCUGCAUGGUGGGGGUUGGAAAGUUUCGGCGGUUGGGGAUGGACUCGCGGCUUAUCAGCUUGUUGGUGGGGUAGUGGCUUACCAAGGCUUUGACGGGUAGCCGGCCUGAGAGGGUGACCGGCCACAUUGGGACUGAGAUACGUCCCAGACUCCUACAGAAGGCAGCAGUGGGGAAUAUUGCACAAUGGGCGGAAGCCUGAUGCAGCAACGCCGCGUGCGGGAUGACGUCCUUCGGGUUGUAAACCGCUUUCGCCUGUGACGAAGCGUGAGUUACGGUAAUGGGUAAAGAAGCACCGGCUAACUACGUG
rnacentral:rRNA from 1 species